rnacentral:rRNA from 1 species
CUGAACUGCAAACUAGGAUCUCGUUAGAGGGGGUAGAAUUUCAGGUGUAGCGGUGGAAUGCGGUGAGAUCGAAGGAAUGCCGGGGCGAAGGCGGCCCCUGGACAAGACUGACGCUCAGGUACGAAAGCGUGGGGAGCAAACAGGAUUAGAUACCCUGUAGUCCACGCCGUAAACGAUGUCUACUCGGAGUUUGGUGUCUUGAACACUGGGCUCUCAAGCUAACGCAUUAAGUAGACCGCCUGGGGAGUACGGCCGCAAGGUUAAAACUCAAAUGAAUUGACGGGGGCCCGCACAAGCGGUGGAGCAUGUGGUUUAAUUCGAUGCAACGCGAAGAACCUUACCUACUCUUGACAUCCUCAGAACUUUCCAGAGAUGGAUUGGUGCCUUCGGGAACUGAGAGACAGGUGCUGCAUGGCUGUCGUCAGCUCGUGUUGUGAAAUGUUGGGUUAAGUCGCAGCUACACAUGCAGUCGAGCGGUACACAAGGGAGCUUGCUCCUUAUUUGCCGAGCGGCGUACUGGUGGGUAACUGCUUAGGUAGUCUGCCCGGUCGAUAAACCGGGGGAUAACAGUUGGGGACGACUGCUCAAGUACCUCAUAGGCCCUUACGGGGGAAAGUAGGGCUACACUUCGUGCCUUCCGCGAUUGGAUCGAGUACAUAGGGUUGGGAUUAGCCUCGUUGGUGGAGGUAAUGGCUCACCAAGGCGACGAUCCGUAGUCUGGAUCUGAGAGUCUGCAACUCGAGCUCACACUGGAAGUCGAGACAUCGGUCCAGUACUCGUACGGGAGUCAGCAUGCUACGGUGAAUACGUUGCACCAUGGGCCUUGUACACACCGCCUGAUGCACGCCAUGCGGCGUGUGCUGCACCAGAAGGCCUUCGGGUUGCUUAAGCACUUUCGGCGAGGAGCGUUACCACGGUGUGUUGCGCUAAUAUCCAGUAACUGUGACGUUACUCCCCAAAAAAAACACCGGCUUACUUCUUUGCCCCAGCCCCCGGGAAUACCAAGGGGGGGGAGCGUUUAUCCGAAAUUACUUGGGCGUAAAACGGACCCCGGCCGGGUUGUGUAAACCAGAAGUGAAAAACCCCCGGCUCCCCCUGGGGAACUGGCAUCUUCCAACUGGGGAAAUAAAAGCGUUGUUGAAGGGGGGGACAAAUUUUUUGUGGCAGCCGUGCACUAGGGAAAAAUUUUUUUUGGAGGGGGGACCUGGCGGGGGGAGGUCCCCCCGUGUGGCCCCCCCGCUUUCUCUACAAGAAAGGGGUGUUUUUACAAGGGGGAGACCUUCCCCCGCGGGCUCUCCUCAGAUACACAGACAAAUUGAGGGGUGGGGGGGGGAGUUGCUCCCCCCCCCUCCCAGAACACUAUUUAGCCCGCCGCGAGGGGGGGUCGCGGGGGAGAGUGCGGGAUUUUUUAUUUUUCUUCU